rnacentral:rRNA from 1 species
UACGUAGGGAGCAAGCGUUGUCCGGAAUCAUUGGGCGUAAAGCGCGCGUAGGUGGCCUCAUAAGUCCGCUGUGAAAGUCACAGGCUCAACCUGUGAAUGCCGCUGGAAACUGUCUGGCUUGAGUCCGGAAGGGGCGAGUGGAAUUCCUGGUGUAGCGGUGAAAUGCGCAGAUAUCAGGAGGAACACCAAUGGCGAAGGCAGCUCGCUGGAACGGUACUGACGCUGAGGCGCGAAAGCGUGGGGAGCGAACAGG